UACGUAGGGUGCAAGCGUUAAUCGGAAUUACUGGGCGUAAAGCGUGCGCAGGCGGUUAUUGAAGACAGAUGUGAAAUCCCCGGGCUCAACCUGGGAACUGCAUUUGUGACUGCAUAGCUAGAGUACGGUAGAGGGGGAUGGAAUUCCGCGUGUAGCAGUGAAAUGCGUAGAUAUGCGGAGGAACACCGAUGGCGAAGGCAAUCCCCUGGACCUGUACUGACGCUCAUGCACGAAAGCGUGGGGAGCAAACAGG
rnacentral:rRNA from 1 species